rnacentral:rRNA from 1 species
CAGUUUGGUUUGCUUGCAAACCAAAGCUGGCGACCGGCGCACGGGUGAGUAACACGUAUCCAACCUGCCUCAUACUCGGGGAUAGCCUUUCGAAAGAAAGAUUAAUAUCCGAUAGCAUAUAUUUCCCGCAUGGGUUUUAUAUUAAAGAAAUUCGGUAUGAGAUGGGGAUGCGUUCCAUUAGUUUGUUGGGGGGGUAACGGCCCACCAAGACUACGAUGGAUAGGGGUUCUGAGAGGAAGGUCCCCCACAUUGGAACUGAGACACGGUCCAAACUCCUACGGGAGGCAGCAGUGAGGAAUAUUGGUCAAUGGACGCGAGUCUGAACCAGCCAAGUAGCGUGAAGGAUGACUGCCCUAUGGGUUGUAAACUUCUUUUAUAUGGGAAUAAAGUUGUCCACGUGUGGAUUUUUGUAUGUACCAUAUGAAUAAGGAUCGGCUAACUCCGUGCCAGCAGCCGCGGUAAUACGGAGGAUCCGAGCGUUAUCCGGAUUUAUUGGGUUUAAAGGGAGCGUAGGCGGAUUGUUAAGUCAGUUGUGAAAGUUUGCGGCUCAACCGUAAAAUUGCAGUUGAUACUGGCAGUCUUGAGUGCAGUAGAGGUGGGCGGAAUUCGUGGUGUAGCG